GACGAACGCUGGCGGCGUGCCUAAUACAUGCAAGUUGAGCGCUGAAGGUUGGUACUUGUACCGACUGGAUGAGCAGCGCACGGGUGAGUAACGCGUGGGGAAUCUGCCUUUGAGCGGGGGACAACAUUUGGAAACGAAUGCUAAUACCGCAUAAAAACUUUAAACACAAGUUUUAAGUUUGAAAGAUGCAAUUGCAUCACUCAAAGAUGAUCCCGCGUUGUAUUAGCUAGUUGGUGAGGUAAAGGCUCACCAAGGCGAUGAUACAUAGCCGACCUGAGAGGGUGAUCGGCCACAUUGGGACUGAGACACGGCCCAAACUCCUACGGGAGGCAGCAGUAGGGAAUCUUCGGCAAUGGACGAAAGUCUGACCGAGCAACGCCGCGUGAGUGAAGAAGGUUUUCGGAUCGUAAAACUCGGUUGGUAGAGAAGAACGUUGGUGAGAGUGGAAAGCUCAUCAAGUGACGGUAACUACCCAGAAAGGGACGGCUAACUACGUG
rnacentral:rRNA from 1 species